AUCAGCAGCACCUAGCACACUCCAGAUAGAAAGCACAAGUGCAAUCAGGGAAGAAAGAGCGUGUCAUGGAUUCCUUUCCGGUUAUCGACAUGGAGAAGCUUUUGGGAAGGGAGAGAGGAGCAGCCAUGGAGAUCCUCCGAGAUGCUUGCGAGAAAUGGGGCUUCUUUGAGAUUUUAAACCAUGGCAUCUCACAUUACCUCAUGGAUGAAGUGGAGAAGGUGAACAAAGAACAGUACAACAAAUGCAGGGAGCAAAAGUUCAACGAGUUCGCCAACAAAGCACUGGAAAACGCCGACUCAGAAAUCGAUCACCUCGACUGGGAAAGCACCUUUUUCCUGCGUCAUCUCCCCGUCUCCAACAUUUCUGAGAUCCCCGAUCUUGAUGACCAGUAUAGGAAGGCGAUGAAGGAAUUUGCUGCAGCGAUAGAGAAGCUGGCAGAGCGGCUGCUCGACUUGCUGGGUGAGAACCUGGAGCUGGAGAAGGGGUACCUGAAGAAAGCCUUCUCUAAUGGAUCCAAGGGGCCAACCUUUGGGACCAAGGUCAGCAGCUACCCGCCAUGCCCGCGCCCGGACCUGGUGAAGGGCCUGAGGGCGCACACCGACGCCGGAGGCAUCAUCUUGCUCUUCCAGGACGACCAGGUCAGCGGCCUGCAGUUCCUCAAGGACGGCGAGUGGCUGGACGUGCCCCCCAUGCGCCACGCCAUCGUCGUCAACCUCGGCGACCAGCUCGAGGUAAUCACCAAUGGCAAGUACAAGAGCGUGGUGCACCGCGUGGUGGCUCAGACUGAUGGCAACAGGAUGUCGAUUGCCUCCUUCUACAACCCCGGGAGCGACGCUGUGAUCUUCCCGGCCCCCGCUCUUGUGGAGAAGGAAGCAGAGGAGAAGAAGGAGGUCUAUCCGAGGUUCGUGUUCGAGGAUUACAUGAAGCUCUACGUCGGGCAUAAGUUCCAGGCCAAGGAGCCAAGAUUCGAAGCCAUGAAAGCCAUGGAAGCAGUUGCCACCCACCCAAUCGCUACCUCUUAAGUGACAGCCCCCAAGUUAGUGCAUGUCGCUGUACUUCGCGUUAGGAAGCUGUCGUGUAUGUCUAUGCAACCCGAUGGAAGCGUGCCUGCCGGAGGAGUCGAAGAACUACAAAACCCUAAACCUUGACUACUACUCCUCUUCCUUCCAGAAUCAUGGAUUCUUCUCCUCCCUCGCAUGCCAGAUCCGAUCAAGAUUCGCUACCGACCGCCUCCGCAGCUCCGGACCAGACGAUCGCGGACGGGGGAACAACGGUGGCGGCGGACGACGGAGGAGAGGAGAAGAAGGGAGAAGCGAAUGGAGGAAGCGAAGUAGAGGAGGAGUGCGGUUUCUGCCUCUUCAUGAAGGGCGGCGGGUGCAAGGAUGCCUUUGUCGCGUGGGAGAAAUGUAUGCAGGAAGCCGAGAAGCGCGACGAGGACAUCGUCGACAAAUGCUCCGAGGCCGCGGCCCUCCUCAAGAGGUGCAUGGACGCCCACCCCGACUAUUAUGAGCCCAUCCUCCGAGCCGAGCAAGCUCUGGCCGACUCUGCUGCUGCCGCGGCCGCCAAUGAUCGUGACUCGGAGGAUGAGAAGAAGAAAGGGAAGCAUUCGUGAAUCCCUAUGCCUCUUCUUAUUCUUUUUUACCUGAUGUCUUGGGUUUCCCCAUGUCUUCUGGUUUGACAAUGGAUUCUUGGAUGGAUGGAUCGAUGAGUUCCUUUUAACAUAGCUCUUCUUUUAGUUA